rnacentral:rRNA from 1 species
CCUACGGGCGGCAGCAGUGGGGAAUAUUGGGCAAUGGCCGCAAGCCUGACCCAGCAACGCCGCGUGAAGGAAGAAGGCUUUCGGGUUGUAAACUUCUUUUCUCAGGGACGAAUAAAGUGACGGUACCUGAGGAAUAAGCCACGGCUAACUUCGUGCCAGCCGCCGCGGUAAUCCGUAGGUGGCAAGCUUUAUCCGGAUUGACUGGGUGUAAAGGGUGUGUAGGCGGGGAAGUAAUUCAGAUGUGAAGACCCCGGGCCAAAGCUGUGGCCUGCAUUUGAAACUUUUUUUCUGGAGUGCUGGAGAGGUAGACGGAAUUCCUAGUGUAGCGGUGAAAUGCGUAGAUAUUAGGCGGAACACCAGUUGCGAAGGCGGCCUGCUGGACAGCAACUGACGCUGAGGCGCGAAAGCGUGGGGAGCAAACAGGAUUAGAUACCCUAGUAGUC